UUGGAGGGCAAGUCUGGUGCCAGCAGCCGCGGUAAUUCCAGCUCCAAUAGCGUAUAUUAAAGUUGUUGCAGUUAAAAAGCUCGUAGUUGAACUUCGGGAUCAAUGGAUUGGUCAUGCCGAUGGUAUGUACUGGUCAUAUUGGUUCUCACCUUCUAAGGAACCAUAAUGUCAUUUAUUUGAUGUUGUGGGGAAUUAGGACUGUUACCUUGAAAAAAUUAGAGUGUUUAAAGCAGGCUAACGCUUGAAUACAUUAGCAUGGAAUAAUGAAAUAGGACAUCGCAUUCUAUUUUGUUGGUUUCUAGGAUCGAUGUAAUGAUUAAUAGGGAUAGUUGGGGGCAUUAGUAUUCAAUUGUCAGAGGUGAAAUUCUUGGAUUUAUUGAAGACUAACUACUGCGAAAGCAUUUGCCAAGGAUGUUUUCAUUAAUCAAGAACGAAAGUUAGGGGAUCGAAGACGAUCAGAUACCGUCGUAGUCUUAACCAUAAACUAUGCCGACUAGGGAUCGGAUGAUGUUGAUUUUUUAAUGACUCAUUCGGCGCCUUACGGGAAAC
rnacentral:rRNA from 1 species